GGAUAGGCGAGGCCUGGGGUGUGCAGGGGGCACGGCAUCGCGAAGAAGGAGGGAGGCGAGGGCAGGCUAGGCCGAUAUUUAAGGAGCGGAGGAGGGCAGAACAUAGGUGUGUAGGCUAGGUUAGGUUAGGUCGGGGGGUAGGCUAGAGCGGCCCUUUAGAGAGGCUAGCUUCGCUCCGCUUCCGAGAGAGCAGGAGGAGGAGUUCUACGUCUAGAAGCACUUCUGGGAAUGACCGUUCUGGUAGUGGGAACUCCAACUCAGGAGACUGUGGUAGCUGUUACAGUUCCGUUUCUAUGUCCUGUUCCUCCCGUAGGGGGGCCUGGUCGUCGCAGAGUAGAAACGACCGUUCGUCGAGCUCCUACCGGCGUGGGAACGCCUGAUGUUGUAGGUCUUCCUCAGGUGGGAGGUGGACCAAGAGUCCGAGGCACCACCAUACGUCUAUAAACAGUUCUGGGAGUGACCGUUCUGGUAGUGGGACCUCCAACUCAGGAGCCUGUGGUAACUGUUACACUUCCGGUUCUAGGUCCUGUUCCUCCCAUAGGGUGGCCUAGUCGUCGCAGAGUAGAAACGGCCGUUCGUCGAACUCCUACCGGCGUGGGAACGUCUGAUGUUGUAGGUCUUCCUCAGGUGAGAGGUGAACCACGAGUCCGAGGCACCACCAUACGUCUAGAAGCAGUUCUGGGAGUGUCCGUUCUGGUAGUGGGACCUCCAACUCAGGAGCCUGUGGUAGCUGUUGCAGUUCCGGUUCUAGGUCCUGUUCCUCCCGUAAGGGGGCCUGGUCGUCGCAGAAUAGAAGCGACCGUUCGUCGAACUCCUACCGGCGUGGGAACGCCUAAUGUUGUAGGUCUUCCUCAGGUGGGAGGUGGAACAGGAGGCGGAAGCACCUCCGUACGUUUAGAAACAGUUCUGGGAGUGACCGUUCUGAUAGUGGAACCUCCACCUCAGUAGACUGUGGUAGCUGUUGCACUUCCGGUUCUAGGUCCUGUUCCUCCCGUAGGGGGGCCUGGUCGUCGCGGAGUAGAAACGACCAUUCGUCGAACUCCUACCGGCGUGGAACCGUCUGAUGUUGUAAGUCUUCCUCAGUUGGGAAGUGAACCACGAGGCAGAGGCACCACCGGUCAUUCGAGACCGGUACCUCGACGAAGACAAUAGACAGAAGCCACAGGAG
rnacentral:rRNA from 1 species